AACGAACGCUGGCGGCGUACCUAACACAUGCAAGUCGUACGAGAAAUUCCGAUUCGUCGGGAGAGUAAAGUGGCGAACGGGUGAGUAACACUAGGGUAAUCUUCCCUUAAAUAAGGGAUAACGUUGCGAAAGCGACGCUAAUACCUUAUAAGACUACGAUCUCUUAGGAGGUAGUAGGAAAAGAUGGCCUCUGUUUCAAGCUAUCGUUUAAGGAUGAGCCCUAGCACUAUUAGCUAGUUGGUGAGGUAACGGCUCACCAAGGCGACGAUGGUUAGCUGGUCUGAGAGGAUGGCCAGCCACACUGGAACUGAGACACGGUCCAGACUCCUACGGGAGGCAGCAGUGAGGAAUAUUGCGCAAUGGGGGCAACCCUGACGCAGUGACGCCGCGUGAGUGAUGAAGGCUUUCGAGUCGUAAAGCUCUGUUAGGUGGAAAGAAACAUCCCGGCGCUAAUAUCGUCGGGACUUGACGGUACCACCAGAGGAGACACCGGCUAACUCCGUGCC
rnacentral:rRNA from 1 species